AUGGCCAUAUCACGUUGAAACACCAGUCCUCAUCCGAUCACUGAAAUUAAGCAACGUCAAGUCUGGUCAGUACCUAGAUGGGUGACCGCUUGGGAAUAG